CAGAGGUGGCAAGCGUUGUUCGGAUUUACUGGGCGUAAAGGGUGCGUAGGUAGUUUUGCGUGUCAGAUGUGAAAGCUCAUCGCUCAACGAUGAAAGUGCAUUUGAAACUGCAGGACUGGAGUACGGGGGAGGAGAGUGGAAUUCUUGGUGUAGCGGUGAAAUGCGUAGAUAUCAAGAAGAACACCGGUGGCGAAGGCGACUCUCUAUCCCGAUACUGACGCUGAGGCACGAAAGCUGGGGGAGCAAACAGGAUUAGAUACCCUGGUAGUCCCAGCCUUAAACGGUGUACACUUGGUGUGGGAGGAUUUGACCCCUUCUGUGCCGGAGCUAACGCGUUAAGUGUACCGCCUGGGGAGUACGGCCGCAAGGUUA
rnacentral:rRNA from 1 species